AAGUCUUUGCCCAACAGCAACAUGUAUCUCACCAUUGCUUCAUGUAUGCUGAUGAACAAAGGCUUGC
rnacentral:pre_miRNA from 1 species